UGUGUUUGGUCGAUUAAAAACGCAGGGAACGAGCAGGAGCUUCACCAAAACCCUAACUCUCACUAAAUCAAUCAAUUGAAGGCUCUAAUCUGGUCCAAAUCGAAAUCCGAGCACGUAUUAGUGAUCCCCACUGAAAAAGGAGUCACAAGUUUGACUCUAAACAAGCUAGGUGGGAGCUUGGAAAGGAACGGGUCAAACGAAUGAUGGAUGCGAAGGAUGUUUGCGCGAGCGCGAGGUAAGUAAAGCUUACACUUUUUUUUAUACGUAUUUACUUUAUAGAUUAUAGACACGACCAAGGUUAUAUCCGAAAUAUGGGUUCCGACACGAAAUGAUACGGGCCAGGAAGAAUAAAAGGAUAAAAAACCAUGUUUAAUGACAAAAAGGGGCGAAAUGGGUUAAAUAAUGAAAUGGUAAAUAAAUACCAUUCAAAUAUAAGUGCAAAAUGUUGGUCGUUUAGACUAAACAGGUCAAAUGGUAAUGUUAACACCUUUUGACGAAUAACGACUAACAAGUGCAUGUCAAGUCUAAUGCUCACAGGGUAAAACGGCUUAUGGAAUUUACGUGGCUAUGAAUCAGCAAAUUAUUAAGGCAAGGUAUUAAAACGGGUCAAUACUUUGACCCGCGCCAGGUACAUUUUGGAUGCCGGAAGACGAUCAAGCUCGACGAAGGACCGAACACGAUAUAGAUACAUGCUUCCGCACUCUAACACAUUGCAAAUGUUUAACAACGAAUUCAACCACGUUAUGUAGAAUAACUUAUGAAUUGUAAAAGUUUUAAUAAAUUCGUAUUUUUAUAGUAUGUGUAGGCUUAA